rnacentral:tRNA from 1 species
AAAGGGAGACCUAAUUCAGGUAGGAGACGAAAAAAAGUAGUCCCUACCAAGAAUCAAUCCCAAAAGGUCGGAGCGAGGCAAAAUUGGCUUUCAAACUAGGUUCUGGGUUCACAUAAGACCUGAAUCAGGAACAAGGGCUAUUAGCUCAGGUGGUUAGAGCGCACCCCUGAUAAGGGUGAGGUCCCUGGUUCGAGUCCAGGAUGGCCCACCUGCACAGGUGACAAAAACAAAGAAAAGAAGCUCCGAAUCAGCACCUUAUUUUACCCAUAUAGUAAGAGAGAAUGCUGGCUCUGAGUUCAGAGUCCAGAGGAACCUUGAAAACUGCAUAGAGCUAGGUGAAAAAGCCAAAAAAGAAGACCGCAAG